rnacentral:lncRNA from 1 species
CAUUACUGUUCCUACCACUGCUGUAUGUUUCAUCAUGGUGGUAAUAGUAUGCUAGGUAAUGGUGGCUGAAACAGAAUUUCACAUAACAAGGGAGGGGAAAUGCAUCUGUCUCAAAUCCAAAAUGGCACCCUAUUCUCUACAUAGUGCACUACUUCCCAAGGGGCCCUAGUCAAAAGUAGUGCACUCUAUAGACCUAGGUAAUAGGGUGCCAUUUGGGUAGCAGAUAUGUAGAUGUUCUUUCACAUUGUUCACACUCGUAAUGCAGUGACACAACAAAGGAAGCUGGGUGGAUACCAUAACACUAUAGCCAGUCUGAGAUUAAACUCUAACUGAAUUACGUCAAUGAGUUCCUAUGAAUUUAUUAUUUGACCUAUGGAUGAUCCGAUGCUUGUCUAGAGGUGUGUACAUACAGCCCAUCUCAGUAUGGAGCGCAGUUCACAAUGCAUGAAGACCUAUCAUCACAUAAUGGUGACCAGGGCUUCUCUCUACCACAUGUAAAUGCCCCGUGGAGCUCAUCAGUGGAGCCAUGCAGCUGCACAAUAUCGUCUGUAAGGGUGUGGAAUGCGAGUAGAGGAAGCCAGCCGUGCCCAACCAGGUGCAGUCAGUGGAGGACCUGUACCCGGCCGAAGACUACAACCCUCUGUCCCUAGAGUCCACAGAGGAGGAUGUUCCGUGGGUAAGGAACCGUCUCUGGGGCAGGUUCAGUGGAAUGGCAUGUCUCCUUGAACCUGAGCCAGAACAACUGCUACCCUUCCUGUCAUCCCUGUCUGUACUGGACAUUGUUAAAAACAAGGGGACCUGGGGCAUGCAGGCAUCGUGGCUGGCAUAGCGCUGUCGGUGGAGCAGCAGGAGGCUAUACGGCAGGCAAGUUGGACAGCGCACCAACCCCAACUGGCACACAUUGAGGAGAGGGAGGUUGACGGCCAGCAAUUUUGGAGCAGUGGUUAAGGCCAAGUGCGUUACUCUGUCGCUGCUAAAUAGGGUCCUCAGGUCACAGUCGUUGAAUGGGGUGUUGUCUGUAAAGUGGGGGACAGAUAACGAAGAGGAGGUCAUCAAGACAUUCAAAAUGGUUACAGGGAUGGAUGUGCAGGAGUCAGGGCUUUGGGUCACAGGGUCUGGGAUCCUGGGUGCCUCACCGGAUGGUCUGGUGGGCACCACAGCAUUGGUGGAGGUCAAGUGUCCCUUUGGUGCAAGGGAUCUUAUCAUUGAAAAGGCAUUGAAGGGUUUCUAUAUCCAGGGGGAGGCAGGAUCCUACCGCCUCCAUGAAGACCAUCGUUACUGGCACCAGGUCCAAGGGCAGCUCAACAUCACUGGAAGGGACACUUCAUUGAUGCUUCUUCAUUGUGUGGACCACCAAAGCCUCCAUCACCAUCCCCGUCCAGCGUGAUAACCUCUGGCAGACUCAUAUUGCUUGAGUUGAGGAGUUUUUCAAGGACCACAUGCUCCCAAAGUUGCCACUGCAACAGUGAACAUUUGUAAAUAUCUUAUAGUUUAUGCACAUAAAUCAGUUAUCAGUUUUAUUCCAAUCAGUUUAUUAGAGGGGCACUGGAUCAGCGUUCUUGUCAAGCCUCCUUUCAGUCCCAAUGGUCAGAAAUAUUGCACACAGUUAAUUCACACACACACACUAUUCUCCCAGAAUAGGUUAUAUUACAUACAAUUUAUGCUCAAAGCAGCCAACUAAAGUAAUGUAGUUAACUUUAUCAUGGGCACAGUGGGAAUUUAUAUCUGUGAUGUUCAAAUCAUUUCUUACUAAACGUCUUACCUGCUGAAGGCCCCAGUCAUCCCUGCCUGUACGUGGCAUUGUUGAAAACAAGUGAACAAUGAAUAAAGAUCAUACACAAACAAUAACCUCCUAGAAUAGAUUAUAUUACAUUCAAGUUUUGCUCAAAGCAGCCACUGUAAUUCAUCUCUGCACAGUGUGUUAGUUUGUCAGCUAACUAGCCAGCCAGUUUAACUAGAAUUAUUAACUGACAAUAUUUACAUUUAACUGACAAUAUUUCAUAUUAAGUGCCAACAUCAAAGCAAAGCAACAUCAAAGCAAAAGGCUACCUGCUAUUCCAGCAUCUGGCAUCAUCCCUCGUGCCUGGAACUUCAAUGUUUCCAUUGAACUCCAAAUAAGUAAGUAGAGUUGGUUAGGACACAGACUACGAAAAUCAUCUGUAAUGCUUAACCCUUGUGUGGUUUUCGGGUCUGUGGGACACAUUUUCAAUGUUUACUCAAAUAAAAAUGAUAUAAUGAAUUAUUUUUUUUCAACUUGAGAAUCAUUUUCUGUUAAGAACAUGUAAAAAAAAACAUUUUCAUUAAGUGCACACUGUGCAACCCCCUACACAUUUUUAUUACAUAUGUGGUGUUCGGGUCCACUGGACCCAAGGGUAAUAAAAUUGUGGAAAAGUGUGUGUGUAGGUGAAAACAAGUAAAAAUAAAACAAAAAAGGUUUGCUGUUUGCCUUCACUUUGUCUUCCUCCUCCCUAGUCCUGCUGUUUCAACAUAGCACCAAGAACCUGUCUGUCUCCCUGCCUCCCGCUUUUAUCGCACUCUUUACCCUUGGUAGUGUGUGAAACUACACAAUGUCUUGAGGGAACCUGCACAAUGUUACUUUGGAAGAUUAAGCAUUUUCCAAAUAUGAGGAUCAUAUCUCUGUCAAUUCGGAUGAGAUUGAACCUCAGCCAGCCCUGGGACCAGCCCGUCAACAGCCAGCCCCAGAACCAGCCCAUCAGCAACCAGCUCAUCAGCAGCCUGCAGGAGGGGAAAUAUGAAUGUAAAAAAAUUGUGAAAUUUAAUGGUCUUCUUGACCAAGGAUUGAGCCACCCAGAAUGGCUGCCAAUGUGAUAAGGAUGC